rnacentral:lncRNA from 1 species
AUGUUAAUUUUCAUAUAUCUUUUACAGGACAGCAAAGCAAAUACACAGCCAUCAGAACCUCCUUCUUUUCUGUCAAGUCUCAGGAUGUGCCUCUUUCCCAACCUUGAGCUGAACACAGUAGAUAUGGAUAUCUCUCAGUGUUCUACCUGGAUUCUGCAUGGCAGAGAGGCAGGGAGCUGACCUUUGGAAUGAAACAAGCUGGACUCAAACCUUGUUUCUGCCAGGCCAAGGAAUCCUCCAAAUCGGCUUCGGCUGGUGGCGACGCUUUCUGAUCAGCCUGAACAGAGGAUUCUGGUGAUUUAAUUAAAGAUAAAAAUCACUGAGAGAACACGGUAAGGAUAAUUUCAAGAACGGUCCAUGACUAGGAACGUUUUCCCAGUACCCAACUUUCCCAGCAAUGAUAUGGUCACAUCAGGCCUAAUUCUGCCAUAAAAAAGUUCGCAUUUCUACAAUAAAAACUCACAUGUUUUCUUUGGUCUUGUCCUA